UGGCUUCUAGAACUCUUCCUAACAUUUUAUGACCAAGAAAUACUUGCUGGGUGUAUACGUAUAUGAUUCACAGCCUACAUAUGACAAUUUGUGUGGUUCUUACUAUUUAAUACUAGGUGGUAAGAACAGUUCCAAACAUAUCCCAUGAAAGUUAAUAGGAAAUUCCUAGCAUAGGUCAGGUAGUACCUCUCCGUCACAGAAAACUGAGGACGUGCAACUCCACCAAUUAAUCCCACACAAUAUGGAGAAAGAAAUCAAAGGCGAGCCUGGAAGGAGUUUACAUCUUAUCUUCAGAAACAAGUCAAAUGUGUAUUUCAAUAUGGCUGCUUCCUGCCCACAAGUGAUAUAGAAAUAAUAGAGCAACGAGCGCAAACAAAUAAUACAGCAAAAAGAGGAUGGUGGUAUUCUGUAAUCUGUGACCUGUGCUGGUUGUUAAUCAGUAACCUAGGUCAAUACCUUGUGUGGGGACUUCCCUGGUGGUCCAGUGGUGAAGACCCCGCACUUCCAAUGCAGGGGACACGGGUUCGAUCCCUGGCCAAGGAAGAUCCCACAUGCCUCAGAGCAACUAAGCCCAUGUGCCACAACUACUGAGCCUGUGUGCUGCAACUACUGAAGGCCGAAAGCUCUAGAGCUGUGCUGUGCAACAAGAGAAACCACCACAAUGAGAAGCCUGUGCACUGCAAUUAGAGAAA